rnacentral:rRNA from 1 species
GACGAACGCUGGCGGCGUGCCUAAUACAUGCAAGUAGAACGCACAGUUUAUACCGUAGCUUGCUACACCAUAAACUGUGAGUUGCGAACGGGUGAGUAACGCGUAGGUAACCUGCCUGGUAGCGGGGGAUAACUAUUGGAAACGAUAGCUAAUACCGCAUAAUAUUGAUUAUUGCAUGAUAAUUGAUUGAAAGAUGCUAUUGCAUCACUACCAGAUGGACCUGCGUUGUAUUAGCUAGUAGGUGAGGUAACGGCCCACCUAGGCGACGAUACAUAGCCGACCUGAGAGGGUGAUCGGCCACACUGGGACUGAGACACGGCCCAGAAUCCUACGGGAGGCAGCAGUAGGGAAUCUUCGGCAAUGGACGAAAGUCUGAACGAGCAACGCCGCGUGAGUGAAGAAGGUUUUCGGAUCGUAAAGCUCUGUUGUAAGAGAAGAAAGGGUGUGAGAGUGGAAAGUUCACACUGUGACGGUAUCUUACCAGAAAGGGACGGCUAACUACGUG